rnacentral:rRNA from 1 species
GCUACNUAUAAUCGCCCCCUGGGAUACGGCNCANGUUAAANNCAAAUGAAUNACGGGGNCCNACNANCGGUGGAGCAUUUGUUUAAUUCGAUGCAACGCGAAGACCNUACCUACUCUUGACAUCCAGAGAACAUUCCAGAGAUGGAUUGGNGCCUUCGGGAACUCUGANACAGGUGCUGCAUGGCUGUCCUCAGCUCGUGUUGUGAGAUGUUGGGUUAAGUCCCGCAACGAGCGCAACCCCUAUUGUUAGUUGCCAUCAUUCAGUUGGGCACUCUAGCGAGACUGCCGGUAAUAAACCGGAGGAAGGUGGGGAUGACGUCAAAUCAUCAUGCCCCUUAUGACCUGGGCUACACACGUGCUACAAUGGCUGGUACAACGAGUCGCAAGCCGGUGACGGCAAGCUAAUCUCUUAAAGCCAGUCUCAGUUCGGAUUGUAGGCUGCAACUCGCCUACAUGAAGUCGGAAUCGCUAGUAAUCGCGGAUCAGCACGCCGCGGUGAAUANGUUCCCGGGCCUUGUACACACCGCCCGUCACACCACGAGAGUUUGUAACACCCGAAGUCGGUGAGGUAACCGUAAGGAGCCAGCCGCCUAAGGUGGGAUAGAUGAUUGGGGUGAAGUCGUAACAAGGUAGCCA